ACGCUCGACACCUACGAGAGGCAGCAGUCGGGAAUAUUGCGCAAUGGAGGAAACUCUGACGCAGUGACGCCGCGUAUAGGAAGAAGGUCUUCGGAUUGUAAACUAUUGUCGUUAGGGAAGAAAAAGGACAGUACCUAAGGAGGAAGCUCCGGCUAACUACGUGCCAGCAGCCGCGGUAAUCUGAGCGGGCUGGCAAGGC
rnacentral:rRNA from 1 species